rnacentral:rRNA from 1 species
UCCUACGGGAGGCAGCAGUGGGGAAUAUUGCACAAUGGGCGCAAGCCUGAUGCAGCCAUGCCGCGUGUAUGAAGAAGGCCUUCGGGUUGUAAAGUACUUUCAGCGGGGAGGAAGGCGGUGAGGUUAAUAACCUCGCCGAUGACGUACCGCAGAAGAGCCGUCGCGCCC